rnacentral:rRNA from 1 species
CAACAGGGAUUACCUCAGUAACGGCGAGUGAAGCGGUAACAGCUCAAAUUUGAAAGCUAGCUCUUUUAGGGUUCGCAUUGUAAUUUGUAGAAGAUGCUUCGGGUGUGGCCCCGGUCUAAGUUCCUUGGAACAGGACGUCAUAGAGGGUGAGAAUCCCGUAUGUGACUGGGUGCUUUCGCUCAUGUGAAGCUCUUUCGACGAGUCGAGUUGUUUGGGAAUGCAGCUCAAAAUGGGUGGUAAAUUUCAUCUAAAGCUAAAUAUUGGCCAGAGACCGAUAGCGCACAAGUAGAGUGAUCGAAAGAUGAAAAGCACUUUGGAAAGAGAGUUAAACAGUACGUGAAAUUGUUGAAAGGGAAGCGCUUGCAACCAGACUUGCGCGCUGAUGAUCAUCCGGGCUUCUGUCCGGUGCACUCGUCUGCGCUCAGGCCAGCAUCGGUUUCGGUGGUGGGAUAAAGGCCUUGGGAAUGUAGCUUCUUUCGGGGAGUGUUAUAGCCCUCGGUGCAAUGCCGCCUACCGGGACCGAGGACCGCGCUUCGGCUAGGAUGCUGGCGUAAUGGUUGUAAGCGACCCGUCUUGAAACACGGACCAAGGAGUCUAACAUCUAUGCGAGUGUUUGGGUGUCAAACCCAUACGCGUAAUGAAAGUGAACGGAGGUGAGAACCCUUAAGGGUGCAUCAUCGACCGAUCCUGAUGUCUUCGGAUGGAUUUGAGUAAGAGCAUAGCUGUUGGGACCCGAAAGAUGGUGAACUAUGCGUGAAUAGGGUGAAGCCAGAGGAAACUCUGGUGGAGGCUCGCAGCGGUUCUGACGUGCAAAUCGAUCGUCAAAUUUGCGUAUAGGGGCGAAAGACUAAUCG